ensembl:lncRNA
GAGAGAGACGUGGUGGAGCUCAGAGAGCUGGAGAGAGACAUGGUGGAGCUCAGAGAGCUGGAGAGACCUGGAGAGAGACAUGGUGGAGCUCAGGGAGCUGGAGAGAGACAUGGUGGAGCUGGAGAGAGACAUGGUGGAGCUCAGAGAGAGACAUGGUGGAGCUCAGAGAGAGACAUGGUGGAGCUCAGAGAGAGACAUGGUGGAGCUCAGAGAGAGACAUGGUGGAGCUCAGAGAGAGACGUGGUGGAGCUCAGAGAGAGACGUGGUGGAGCUCAGAGAGAGACAUGGUGGAGCUCAGAGAGAGACGUGGUGGAGCUCAGAGAGAGACGUGGUGGAGCUCAGAGAGAGACGUGGUGGAGCUCAGAGAGCUGGAGAGAGACGUGGUGGAGCUCAGAGAGCUGGAGAGAGACAUGGUGGAGCUCAGAGAGCUGGAGAGAGACAUGGUGAAUGAGUAGGUGUUUCCUAACUUUUGACUGGUACUUUGUGAUCAUACUUUCCAUACCAAUAAAGCCUUUUGAGUUGAAAAGAGAGAGAGAGGGAAACAGAGAGAGAUGGAGAGAGAGGGAAACAGAGAGAGAGGGAAACAGAGAGAAAAGACAGAUGGAGGGAGAAAGAGAGAUGGAGAGAAAAAUAGAUUUUGUCAGUGAAAACAAUGUACUGAGAAAAUGUCAAAUUGGCUUUUUACGAAAUUACCAUACGACAGACCAUGUAUUCACACUGCACACCCUAAUUGACAAACAAACAAACCUAAACAAAGACAAAGUCUUGACUUGUUAAUUUCAAUAAAGCUUUUGACUCAAUGUGGCAUGAGGGUCUGCUAUUCAAAUUGAUGGAAAGUGGUGUUGGG